CACACAGAGAAUUUCUGUGUGCAAAUAGAAAACUCAAAAAACACACCACUCGGUGUAGAUGAAGCUCCAUUUAUUCUAUCCACUGCUACACAGCUGAAGAAGAGAAACACUUCUCUUCUGUCAUGUCACCUUCCUUCCCAUUCACUACAGCCACACUAUGCAGAGCCAAUUAUUUAUAGGUUUACUGAACAAGCUUCGUAGGUAGAAGUUGGAAGGCAUCUAAAUAGAAGGAAAGAUUCUCACAGAGGAAAUGUCAAAGAAAUGUAACUGGACCACAAGUAUGGCAUGAAUCACUUUCCACUUAUCAAACAGUUAUGAUUCUUUUUACCAAAAGGGGGAGAUAGAAUAAGGCAAGGAGCAGAACUCUCAGAAGGGGAUAAAAGGCUGAAAUUACUGACACAAGAAGUUAGUUGUGCACAGGGACUUGAAGGCAGGCAGCCUAGGCCAAGGAAUGAGAAAGUGAAAAAGAAGGAAAGCCACUUGCAAGUCAGCACAGCAUCAGGACACAGCCAGGAUUGGCUGGCAGUGAUGUCACUGCCCUCCCUCCAACAACCACCUCCAGAUGAAAAACAUCACUUAGCUCAGUUUUGGCUUUGUUGGCUGUCUGAUGUUUGCUGUGUACCUUAAGCAUUACCCAUCAUGUUUACCCAUACUGAGAGCUGGGAGGAGGAGCACAUAACUCUUUGCCAAGACUCUGGUGGUUGAAGAGACUCAUCCCCAGGGGCAGGAGGAGAGAUGCCCAGCAGCCCUGCAGUGAUUUCCAGAGCAGGAAAGGGUACAUGAAGACUUGGGAAGUGCAUCAUCAAUCAGGUGGCCUUAUAAUCCUUGUUGGUCUUUACAGACAAAUCACCCAGCGAUGGCAAAUGGGAUUUACAAAGACGGUAACAGAACUUCAAACUCUGUUCCAGGAUUUCAAGAUACAGCAACUGGACCCAACAAGAGUGCAAGGACAGAUACUGUCCGUGCCAUGUUCUAUACAAUCUAAGGGAACAACCUCCCAGAACAAUUAACUGAUGAAUGCAUUUUAAACCCUCACCUCAAGGCAAAAGGUCCUUGUCCCAUGGCCUUGCAGUCUAGCUUUCCUGUCCCCAGUGUUUUCUGUCUAAGUUUUCAGCAGUUUUCUGUCUAAGUUCCCACUCCUUUCUCUUUUUCCCUCUCUCCUCAAGUUUUUCUUUGACAGCUCGUGUUCCAUGUGACUAGAAACAGGAACGAUUUAAAAGGGUGCCUCUGAUUAUAAUAAAACAAAAAAGCCAGAGGUUGUUUUGUUUUCC
rnacentral:lncRNA from 1 species